rnacentral:rRNA from 1 species
AGAGCGAACGCUGGCGGCAGGCCUAAAACAUGCAAGUCGAACGAGCCCUUCGGGGUUAGUGGCGGACGGGUGAGUAACACGUGGGAACGUGCCUUUUGGUUCGGAACAACUCAGGGAAACUUGAGCUAAUACCGAAUGUGCCCUUCGGGGGAAAGAUUUAUCGCCAUUAGAGCGGCCCGCGUCUGAUUAGCUAGUUGGUGAGGUAAAGGCUCACCAAGGCUUCGAUCAGUAGCUGGUCUGAGAGGAUGAUCAGCCACACUGGGACUGAGACACGGCCCAGACUCCUACGGGAGGCAGCAGUUAGGAAUCUUGCGCAAUGGGCGAAAGCCUGACGCAGCCAUGCCGCGUGAAUGAUGAAGGUCUUAGGAUUGUAAAAUUCUUUCAGCGGGACGAUAAUGACGGUACCGCAGAAGAAGCUCCGGCUAACUUCGUGCCAGCAGCCGC